rnacentral:rRNA from 1 species
GACGAACGCUGGCGGCGUGCUUAACACAUGCAAGUCGAACGGAAAGGCCCUGCUUUUGUGGGGUGCUCGAGUGGCGAACGGGUGAGUAACACGUGAGUAACCUGCCCUUGACUUUGGGAUAACUUCAGGAAACUGGGGCUAAUACCGGAUAGGAGCUCCUGCUGCAUGGUGGGGGUUGGAAAGUUUCGGCGGUUGGGGAUGGACUCGCGGCUUAUCAGCUUGUUGGUGGGGUAGUGGCUUGCCAAGGCUUUAACGGGUAGCCGGCCUGAGAGGGUGACCGGCCACAUUGGGACUGAGAUACGGCCCAGACUCCUACGGGAGGCAGCAGUGGGGAAUAUUGCACAAUGGGCGGAAGCCUGAUGCAGCAACGCCGCGUGCGGGAUGACGGCCUUCGGGUUGUAAACCGCUUUCGCCUGUGACGAAGCGUGAGUGACGGUAAUGGGUAAAGAAGCACCGGCUAACUACGUG